GUGUUCGCUUCUGCAGCACAUGUACUAAAAUUAGAAUGAUACAGAGAAGAUUAGCAUAGCCCCUGUGCAAGGAUGACAUGAAAAUCCAUGAAGUGUUCCAUAUUUUU
rnacentral:snRNA from 1 species